GUCCCGCAACGAGCGCAACCCCUAUCUUAUGUUGCCAGCACUUCGGGUGGGAACUCAUGAGAGACUGCCGCAGACAAUGCGGAGGAAGGUGGGAUGACGUCAAAUCAUCAUGCCCCUUAUGACCUGGGCUACACACGUUGCUACAAUGGUUGGUACAACGAGUUGCGAGUCGGUGACGGCGAGCUAAUCUCUUAAAGCCAAUCUCAGUUCGGAUUGUAGGCUGCAACUCGCCUACAUGAAGUCGGAAUCGCUAGUAAUCGCGGAUCAGCACGCCGCGGUGAAUACGUUCCCGGGCCUUGUACACACCGCCGGUCGACGCGGCG
rnacentral:rRNA from 1 species